ACAAUCUCCACCUCAUCUUCUUAUACUAUUUCAAUGCAGACAGGUUUCACUGCACUAGUAUAUGGCUUUGAUAGCUACCAUGGUUAUUCUUAUAGUGCUGGAAUAAAUCUAACAGGAAAUGAUCCUUGCUUGAGCAAUAAUGGUGGUUGUGACCAACUUUGUACUAGCACUUUUGGAAGUUAUGCAUGUAGUUGCCAUCCUGGCUUUAGUUUGGAUCUCAAUGGAUAUAAUUGUUCAGAUAUUGAUGAAUGUGCUGACAGUGAUUGUGAACAUAUUUG